rnacentral:rRNA from 1 species
UACGUAGGGUGCAAGCGUUGUCCGGAAUUAUUGGGCGUAAAGAGCUCGUAGGCGGUUCGUCGCGUCGGCUGUGAAAUCCCGAGGCUCAACCUCGGGUCUGCAGUCGAUACGGGCGGACUGGAGUUCGGCAGGGGAGACUGGAAUUCCUGGUGUAGCGGUGAAAUGCGCAGAUAUCAGGAGGAACACCGGCGGCGAAGGCGGCGCUCUGGGCUGGCACUGACGCUGAGGAGCGAAAGCGUGGGGAGCGAACAGG